AGAGUUUGAUCCUGGCUCAGAACAAACGCUGGCGGCGUGCCUAAUACAUGCAAGUCGUGCGAGAAAGUUCCGCUUGCGGAAUGAGUACAGCGGCGAACGGGUGAGUAACACGUAAGUAACCUGCCUCAAAGUUGGGGAUAACUCCGAGAAAUCGGGGCUAAUACCGAAUGUGGUCCAGAAGUCAUAUGUUUUUUGGAUUAAAGAUGACCUCUACUUGUAAGUUAUCGCUUAGAGAUGGGCUUGCGCACCAUUAGUUUGUUGGUGGGGUAACGGCCUACCAAGACUACGAUGGUUAGCCGACCUGAGAGGGUGAUCGGCCACAUUGGGACUGAGAUACGGCCCAGACUCCUACGGGAGGCAGCAGUAGGGAAUUUUUCGCAAUGGACGAAAGUCUGACGCAGCAACGCCGCGUGAGUGAUGAAGGCCUUCGGGUUGUAAAACUCUGUUGAGUGGGAAGAAAAGGUGUAUGGCUAAUAUCCAUACGCUCUGACGGUACCAUUCGAGGAAGCUCCGGCUAACUACGUGCCAGCAGCCGCGGUAAUACGUAGGGAGCAAGCGUUGUUCGGAAUCACUGGGCGUAAAGGGAGUGUAGGCGGAAUUGUAAGUUAGGAGUUUAAUGUACAGGCUCAACCUGUAACCUGCUCUUAAAACUGCUUUUCUUGAGUAUUGGAGAGGACGAUGGAAUUCCAGGUGUAGCGGUGGAAUGCGUAGAUAUCUGGAAGAACACCAGUUGCGAAGGCGGUCGUCUGGCCAAAUACUGACGCUGAGGCUCGAAAGCGUGGGGAGCGAACAGGAUUAGAUACCCUGGUAGUCCACGCCGUAAACGAUGGAUACUAGAUGCUGGGAGGGUUUUUCUUCUCAGUGUCGUAGCUAACGUAUUAAGUAUCCCGCCUGGGGAGUACGCUCGCAAGGGUGAAACUCAAAGGAAUUGACGGGGGCCCGCACAAGCGGUGGAGCAUGUGCUUUAAUUCGAUGCAACGCGAAGAACCUUACCUGGGUUUGACAUGGGAAUGAAAGGUCCUAGAGAUAGGAUCCCUUCCUUCGGGAACAUUCUGCACAGGUGCUGCACGGUUGUCGUCAGCUCGUGUCGUGAGAUGUUGGGUUAAGUCCCGCAACGCGCGCAACCCUUGUCCUUAGUUGCCAUCAGGUAAUGCUGGGAACUCUAAGGAGACUGCCUGGAUUAACCAGGAGGAAGGCGGGGAUGACGUCAAAUCCUCAUGGCCCUUACGCCCAGGGCUAGACACGUGCUACAAUGGCUGAUACAAAGGGCUGCGAUGUCGCGAGGCGGAGCUAAUCCCAGAAAAUCAGUCUCAGUACGGAUUAGAGUCUGCAAUUCGACUCUAUGAGGCUGGAAUCGCUAGUAAUCGCGGAUCAGCAUGCCGCGGUGAAUACGUUCCCGGGCCUUGUACACACCGCCCGUCAAGCCAUGAAAGAAGGCAGUGCCCGAAGUCGCUUCUCUAACCGCAAGGAAGAGUGCGCCGAAGGUAAGGCCUUUGAUUGGGGCUAAGUCGUAACAAGGUA
rnacentral:rRNA from 1 species